UACAGAGGUCUCAAGCGUUGUUCGGAUUCAUUGGGCGUAAAGGGUGCGUAGGUGGCAUGGUAAGUCGGAUGUGAAAUCCCGGGGCUCAACCCCGGAACUGCAUUCGAUACUGCUGUGCUAGAGUACUGGAGAGGAGAUUGGAAUUUACGGUGUAGCAGUGAAAUGCGUAGAUAUCGUAAGGAAGACCAGUGGCGAAGGCGGAUCUCUGGACAGUUACUGACACUGAGGCACGAAGGCCAGGGGAGCAAACGGG
rnacentral:rRNA from 1 species